GCAGUCAGCCAGACGGCCGCUGGCUCUCGCACGGGUGGCGGCGGGGCAGGUUCGCCUGCUGCGUCGGCGCCAACGGCGGGGGCGAGAGGAAAGUCCGAACUCCGAAGGGCAGUGCGCCGGGUAACGCCCGGGCAGGGCAACCUGACGGAUAGUGGCACAGAAAAUAUACCGCCCGCAAGGGUAAGGGUGAAAAGGUGCGGUAAGAGCGCACCGCGUUCGUGGCAACACGGACGGCAGGCAAAACCCCGCACGGAGCAAGACCAAAUAGGGUGGCGCGAAGGACGGCCCGUCCGAUGCCACCGGGUAGGUCGCUUGAGCCCGCGAGCGAUCGCGGGACGAGAGGAAUGGUCGUCACCUCGCCGAAGCCCGCCGCCGCGCGCCGAAUGGCGCGCUCAGGCGUGGCGGAGGCGGGGACAGAAUUCGGCUUAUCGGGUGGCUGCGACG
rfam:Acidobacteria bacterium RIFCSPLOWO2_02_FTLL_67_21 rifcsplowo2_02_scaffold_2714, whole genome shotgun sequence.